CCUCGUUCUCACUCACCAUUGCGUCACCUGCGGGGACAGAGAGAGAAACCUCAGACAGGGCUGGACAAAGGAAGAGCAAACCAAAAUAAGUGCUGGAGAGAUGUCAAAUAAAAACCAGGAACUGAACUCCCCGCAAACUCUUCCCCCAAAGGGAAUCAGUUCGGCCUUCAGAGGCCAUCUAAAUACUCAGUGGGAAGGGAAGAAGCUACUGACAGGUGUCUGUCAGGAUCUGUAGGAUGCCAUGAGCUAUAUUUUCCCUGGGGAUAUGACACCUGCUGGGGACAAUCCUGAGCUCAAAGAGCUCCCAAGGUCUCCCUAGGGUAUACCAGAUGUCAGCUCCAGGCACUUUUAUUCUGAGUAGGUUUAAUGUUUCCUCACCUGUGCAGGGACCUCUCAGGAUCUCCCUUUUCUCUGAAUCCAGGAGGUCUGGGACCCAGGGCUCUUUCCUUUCUUCCAGCUGGGAGAUCACAUCAGGUUUGGAAACUAGCAACCCUGCUCAGAUGAAAGAAAACAAAGGAGAUCAGAAAAUAUUACAAUUCUGUGGAACACCCAGAGACUCGUUCCUCAGAGACGGCAAGGCUAUCACCUGGUUAAAUGGCCAUUCUCUGGCCGGGGGAAGGGUGAACAAGAAAUUUACAUUCCAUCACAAGGAUGGCUUGAAGCUCACAUCUACAACAGACAGCCCGUCACCAUGUUUCUAGGACAAAGGACUGAAUUAUUAAAAGAGGUGAGAAAAUUGCUUGA